rnacentral:rRNA from 1 species
UCGGGAAUUUUGGGCAAUGGGGGCAACCCUGAUCCAGCAAUGCCGCGUGAGUGAAGAAGGCCUUCGGGUUGUAAAGCUCUUUUGUCAGGGAAGAAACGGUAGUAGCGAAUAACUACUACUAAUGACGGUACCUGAAGAAUAAGCACCGGCUAACUACGUGCCAGCAGCCGCGGUAAUACGUAGGGUGCAAGCGUUAAUCGGAAUUACUGGGCGUAAAGCGUGCGCAGGCGGUUGUGUAAGUCAGAUGUGAAAUCCCCGGGCUCAACCUGGGAAUUGCAUUUGAGACUGCACGGCUAGAGUGUGUCAGAGGGGGGUAGAAUUCCACGCGUAGCAGUGAAAUGCGUAGAUAUGUGGAGGAAUACCGAUGGCGGAGGCAGCCCCCUGGGAUAACACUGACGCUCAUGCACGAAAGCGUGGGGAGCAAACAGGAUUAGAUACCCAAGUAGUCCCUGAGCGGGCUGGCAAGGCG